GCCAAACAUCUAGCCCCAACUUUAUCCCCAUUUUCCCCCCUCCCUCCCUCCCUCCCACUAAAACAUUUUUCAAGUUUAGUAAAGGCGAUUAAAAAACUCCUUGGAGCUAUAAAUAUUGUACCGAAAGGGAAAGAUGAAAUAAAAAUGAAAUAAUUCUUAAGCACAAAAAAGUAGAGCCUAAUUCUUGUACCUUUUGCAUCAUGGUUUAACUAGUUUAAUCAAGCAAAAUGAUCUUCAGUUUGAACCCCCGAACCUAAGCGAGCUACCCUAAGACAGUUUUAUUAGAGCGCACCCGUCUCUGUUGCAAAAGAGUGGGAAGAUCUUAUGGUAGAGGUGAUAGACCUAACGAGCUUAGUGAUAGCUGGUUACCCCAAAAAAGGAUUUUAGUCCUACUUAAAACUUAAACUGAUUUAUUAAUCUUAUUUUAAAGCUACUCAAACAAGGUACAGCCUGUUUGAAAAAGGAUACAACCUUAAUUAUUGGGUCAGUAUAUUUAAUUUCAAAAAAGUGGGCCUAAAAGCAGCCACCUUUGAUAAAAGCGUCAAAGCUUCCCUAUAAUCCUCAAAUACUCCAAAUAAUAUCCUUAUUAUUCACAACCCCCUACUUUCACUAUAGGGUAACUCUAUACUCUUAUAGAAGUUUUUAUGUUAAAACUAGUAAUAAGAAGAAAAUUCUUCUCUUCUAACGCAAGCUUAUAUCAGCCAGGACACCCCUCUGAGAAUUAACGUCUUUAAUAAAAAAGUAGUAACAAAUCAAGAAAAACCUACUAAAACUCACGUUCACCUAACACUAGAGCGUUGCAAGAAAGAUUAAAAGAAAAAGAAGGAACUCGGCAAAUAUUAGUCUCGCCUGUUUACCAAAAACAUCGCCUCUUGCUUAAAAAUAAGAGGUUCAACCUGCCCAGUGAUAUCAUUCAACGGCCGCGGUAUCCUAACCGUGCGAAGGUAGCAUAAUCAUUUGUUCUUUAAUUGAGGACUAGCAUGAAUGGCCUAACGAAGACUAUACUGUCUCCUUUUUCCAAUCAAUGAAACUAAUCUCCCCGUGAAGAAGCGGGGAUAAAUUUAUAAGACGAGAAGACCCUAUGGAGCUUUAAACAACUGAAUUACCUGCUUUUCAUCUCUAUGCACCUCCCGAGAACCAAAUUUAUUAUAAGCACUCUAAUUUCAAGUUUUAGGUUGGGGUGACCACGGAGCACAAACUACCCUCCUCGCUGAAAUUGAAUAUUCUUCUUAGUUAAAAGCUACACCUUUAAACAUCAAUAUAUUGACUUCCAUUGACCCAAUUAUUUGACCAACGAACCAAGUUACCCUAGGGAUAACAGCGCAAUCUACUUCAAGAGCUCCUAUCGACAAGUAGGCUUACGACCUCGAUGUUGGAUCAGGGUAUCCUAGUGGUGCAGCCGCUACUAAAGGUUCGUUGUUCAACGAUAAAACC
rnacentral:rRNA from 1 species